UACGUAGGGGGCAAGCGUUGUCCGGAAUCAUUGGGCGUAAAGAGCGUGUAGGCGGCCCGGUAAGUCCGCUGUGAAAGUCCAGGGCUCAACCCUGGGAUGCCGGUGGAUACUGUCGGGCUCGAGUCCGGAAGAGGAGUGUGGAAUUCCUAGUGUAGCGGUGAAAUGCGCAGAUAUCAGGAAGAACACCGGUGGCGAAGGCGGCCCACUGGUCCGGUACUGACGCUGAGGUGCGAAAGCGUGGGGAGCAAACAGG
rnacentral:rRNA from 1 species